GUCGAACGGGAGUUACUUUAUUGAAACUUCGGUCGAUUUAAUUUACUUCGGUAAAGAGCGGCGGACGGGUGAGUAACGCGUGGGUAACCUGCCCUGUACACACGGAUAACAUACCGAAAGGUAUGCUAAUACGAGAUAAUAUACUUUUAUCGCAUGGUAGAAGUAUCAAAGCUCCGGCGGUACAGGAUGGACCCGCGUCUGAUUAGCUAGUUGGUAAGGUAACGGCUUACCAAGGCGACGAUCAGUAGCCGACCUGAGAGGGUGAUCGGCCACAUUGGAACUGAGACACGGUCCAAACUCCUACGGGAGGCAGCAGUGGGGAAUAUUGCACAAUGGGCGAAAGCCUGAUGCAGCAACGCCGCGUGAGCGAUGAAGGCCUUCGGGUCGUAAAGCUCUGUCCUCAAGGAAGAUAAUGACGGUACUUGAGGAGGAAGCCCCGGCUAACUACGUGCCAGCAGCCGCUGUAACAC
rnacentral:rRNA from 1 species